AGUGAACGCUGGCGGUAGGCCUAACACAUGCAAGUCGAACGGCAGCACAGUAAGAGCUUGCUCUUACGGGUGGCGAGUGGCGGACGGGUGAGGAAUACAUCGGAAUCUACUUUUUCGUGGGGGAUAACGUAGGGAAACUUACGCUAAUACCGCAUACGACCUACGGGUGAAAGCAGGGGAUCUUCGGACCUUGCGCGAUUGAAUGAGCCGAUGUCGGAUUAGCUAGUUGGCGGGGUAAAGGCCCACCAAGGCGACGAUCCGUAGCUGGUCUGAGAGGAUGUUCAGCCACACUGGAACUGAGACACGGUCCAGACCCCUACGGGAGGCAGCAGUGGGGAAUAUUGGACAAUGGGCGCAAGCCUGAUCCAGCCAUACCGCGUGGGUGAAGAAGGCCUUCGGGUUGUAAAGCCCUUUUGUUGGGAAAGAAAAGCAGCAGGUUAAUACCCCGCUGUUCUGACGGUACCCAAAGAAUAAGCACCGGCUAACUUCGUG
rnacentral:rRNA from 1 species